rnacentral:rRNA from 1 species
AUUGAACGCUGGCGGCGUGCCUAAUACAUGCAAGUCGAACGACGUGGCGCACGGGGGAGUAAUAUAUCGUUAAUCUGCCCUACACAGAGGAACAACAGUUGGAAACCACUGAUAAUACAUGAUAGUGUAGUAUGAGACUAUAUCGUAUCAGCUAGUUGGUAAGGUAAUGGCUUACAAAGGCUAUGACGUGUAACUGGUCUGAGAGGAUGAUCAGUCACAUGGGAACUGAGAAACGGUCCAAACUCCUACCGGAGGCAGCAGUAAGGAAUAGUUCGCAAUGGGUGUAUCCCUGACGCAGCAACGCCGCGUGGAGGAUGACCUGUUUCGGAGCUUAAACUCCUUUUAUCAGGAAAGCGGUACCUGAUGAAUAAGCACCGGCUAACUCCGGGCCAGCAGACGCGGUAAUAC